ACGCUCGACACCUACGGGAGGAGCAGUGGGGAAUAUUGCACAAUGGGGGAAACCCUGAUGCAGCGACGCCGCGUGAGCGAAGAAGUAUUUCGGUAUGUAAAGCUCUAUCAGCAGGGAAGAAACUGACGGUACCUGACUAAGAAGCACCGGCUAAAUACGUGCCAGAAGCCGCGGUAAUCUGAGCGGGCUGGCAAGGC
rnacentral:rRNA from 1 species